rnacentral:rRNA from 1 species
ACUCUGUUGGUAGAGAAGAACGUUGGUGAGAGUGGAAAGCUCAUCAAGUGACGGUAACUACCCAGAAAGGGACGGCUAACUACGUGCCAGCAGCCGCGGUAAUACGUAGGUCCCGAGCGUUGUCCGGAUUUAUUGGGCGUAAAGCGAGCGCAGGUGGUUUAUUAAGUCUGGUGUAAAAGGCAGUGGCUCAACCAUUGUAUGCAUUGGAAACUGGUAGACUUGAGUGCAGGAGAGGAGAGUGGAAUUCCAUGUGUAGCGGUGAAAUGCGUAGAUAUAUGGAGGAACACCGGUGGCGAAAGCGGCUCUCUGGCCUGUAACUGACACUGAGGCUCGAAAGCGUGGGGAGCAAACAGGAUUAGAUACCCUGGUAGUCCACGCCGUAAACGAUGGAUACUAGGUGUUGUCUGUAUCGACCCGGACAGUGCCGUAGCUAACGCGUUAAGUAUCCCGCCUGGGGAGUACGCACGCAAGUGUGAGACUCAAAGGAAUUGACGGGGCCCGCACAAGCGGUGGAGUAUGUGGUUAAUCGAUGCAACCGG